rnacentral:misc_RNA from 1 species
UUUCCGUAGGUGAACCUGCGGAAGGAUCAUUACAGAGGUUUAUCCUUUUCUGUGAAUUUUAUAUCUGGUGUGUAUGUUUGUGAGGGAACGAGUGCGGAGCACGAGUUGAGAUCAUUUGUGAAAGCAAUGAGUCGAACCAUUCGUUCAAACACCAAAUAUAUGCACCAAACACUUUAUAUCAAUUUUUGUCUGAAGAAAAGAAAUGAAAAACUUUCAACAAUGGAUCUCUUGGCUCUGGCAUCGAUGAAGAACGCAGC